rnacentral:rRNA from 1 species
UACGGGGGGGGCAAGCGUUGUUCGGAAUUACUGGGCGUAAAGGGCUCGUAGGUGGCCAACUAAGUCGGACGUGAAAUCCCUCAGCUUAACUGGGGAACUGCGUCCGAUACUGGAUGGCUUGAGUUUGGGAGAGGGAUGCGGGAUUCCAGGUGUAGCGGUGAAAUGCGUAGAUAUCUGGAGGAACACCGGUGGCGAAGGCGGCAUCCUGGACCAACACUGACACUGAGGAGCGAAAGCCAGGGGAGCAAACGGG